rnacentral:rRNA from 1 species
CUCGAUGUCGGCUCAUCGCAUCCUGGGGCUGUAGUCGGUCCCAAGGGUUGGGCUGUUCGCCCAUUAAAGCGGUACGCGAGCUGGGUUCAGAACGUCGUGAGACAGUUCGGUCCCUAUCCGUCGUGGGCGUAGGAAAUUUGAGAGGAGCUGUCCUUAGUACGAGAGGACCGGGAUGGACAUACCUCUGGUGUACCAGUUGUCGUGCCAACGGCAUAGCUGGGUAGCUAUGUAUGGACGGGAUAAGUGCUGAAAGCAUCUAAGCAUGAAGCCCCCCUCAAGAUGAGAUUUCCCAACUUCGGUUAUAAGAUCCCUCAAAGAUGAUGAGGUUAAUAGGUUCGAGGUGGAAGCGUAGCGAUACGUGGAGCUGACGAAUACUAAUCGAUCGAAGACUUAAUCAAUU